AGCCUUCUCUUUGCCUUUUGGCUUAGAUCAAGUGAAGUGUGCUGUUCUUCUUGGUUUAAUCUCUGGGAUGUGCCUACGGGUACCUAGUGAUUAACCCACUUUUUGGAAAUCGUGCUGGUGGUCCCUGGGCUUCGCCCAUACUACUGGCCACAGUGUCGUUCCUAUUGCACUGCCUGGUUCUGACGCGACUUCUA
rnacentral:snRNA from 1 species